AUUUCACAGAAUGCAAAUACUGUACUCAGUGUGCACAAAUCUUUUACUCUGAAUUCAUCCUCGCCCACUGAUGGAUUUGAAGGUAUAGUUUAUAGAGAAGAGAACUAGAUACAAGGAAAAUGUCACAGUAAAGAACAACACAAAGGUUGGAACCUGUAGAAAAUGAAAGAAGAAUCACAUAGGGAACACCAAACAUGGAUUAUUAAGGAAAAGAACACAGAAAAUCAGAAGGACCGAGAAUGGGGUUGAGAAACCAAUCGACCAUGAUUGAAUAGUGGAGAAGACUCGUUGGGCUAAAUAGCCUAAAUUUGCUCCUAUACCCUAUGGUCUUAUGUUAAAGAUGCAGCAUCAAACAGGAGAUGUACCCUGUAGUGACUGGUGUAAUAUCGGUAUCUGCUUUUAUAAAGCAGCAAGCAUAAGUAUCAUCUCCUUCGGUUCCCUGCUGAAGGUACAAAGCUCACCACCACAUCUACAGCAGAUUGUGAUAGCAGAUCAGAUUAAGACCCAACGGCGGGUUCACCCAAUACCCAUGGAAACAAUUGUUGCUGUAAGAGUCAGAGCUCACCACUGAGUGGCAGAUACCCUCAUCGGUUUGGCCUGUACCAGCUUCUGGGCACUGAAGCCAAUAAUAUAACUAUCAGCUCAUUCCACAAAAAGCAAGGAUUGAUAAUUGGUCUUUCCUUUGCUGGUUGGCUCUAUCCACUCGAGAGAGAGCGACAGACCGUGUCAAGUUACGCUAACAUUGACAGAUCGAACUGAGGCAUGUGUCUCUUGUGCCACAUCAGCUUUCACGUACUGUGAACAUGAUCCCAAACAAAUCCGUCUGACUCGGUUUCUGGUGAAUCAGUGAGCAAUCAUGUAGCUCUCACUGCCAGCUGCUAAAUGCACUGGACAAAAAAUGCUCAUCUGUCAAAAGAUUUUGCAACAUCAAUGAGCUAAGAGGUCUUGGAAACAUUUCAUGCAGUUUUAUCAAAUGAAUUGAAAAGUUACAGAAAACCCAUGGAUUAUUUUGCUUAUACUUAUAAGUAAUCCCACACAUGCAUGAAACUUGCACUUCAGAAUUAGAGCAACAAAACCCAGCUGGAGCAUUUUAACUAACCACACAUAACAUCACAACACAACCUCCUACACUCACAUAAUGGACAAAAGCAACAAAUUAUCUUGGAUCCUUUUCUUUCUAAAUUCCCAACAGUUUUCUGGGUUUCAGUCGCUUUCAAUAAACCUGUUACUUGAGUGGCAUAUUCUCUUAAUGUUCCUUUGAAGAGAUUGGCUCAGAAAUUGUUGGAGCAUGAUCCAUUUGUUAGAUGUUUCCCCUUUAUCCUUCAGCUCACAAAUCUUUUUGCACUGACAUUUCUGGAAAUGCAAGCUGAAAACAAUGCAGCAAGGGCAGAAGGGAAUCUGGGACCUUGGUAAUAAGUGUAACUAAUAGACUAUUGCUUUAACCAAUGAGAAUAAAAGACAGAAACAAAAACAGGAAGAAUGGAGUGAAUUGGAAUCAGUACAGACACAGAAAACCAAAUUUAAAAAGGGAAAGAAAGAUUGAGAAAAAUAGAAUAAUUAAAGAUGUUAAAACCCUGUGAGAACAGUUUACUAACUGUGGGAAUGGUUCUUUGUAAAUUCAACAGUUCAUUUUCUGAGCCAAAAAGGUUGAGAGGUAUUACAGGACCAUAAAUCCUGUAAUUAUGUAAGGUUCUUAGAUCAUGAAGUAGCAAUGUCAGAAGCAAAGAAGUUAACAACAUUAUAGAUUCCUUGUACAAAAACGAAUCUGACUUUAACUGGAUAUAAGAAGCUAAAAAAACCAUGGCUAUUACCAGUCACUCGACUAUACAGCUGCAAGUUUUAAAUGGGCCACAGAGAGACAUGACCAGACAUGCAAAGACUUUUGAAGCAUCAGGAGUUUGUAAAUGGAAGCAAUGGAAGUGUAUGAAUUCCACCUUCACAGAGAACCAGCCUUCCAGAGGACGAACUUCAGAGGGACUCAGCAGAAUGGACUUUUGCCUUGCGGAUCCUUUGAUUCCUCAAAGUUAACAAUACCACCAUGUUCAAGCUUUGAACUGUGUUAAAAAAGGGCUAAGAAUAUCAAAUGUGCAAAGCUCCAACAAGAAGGCUUGUAGAACCACUUUCACAAGGAGAGUUUGACUGAGAGAAACCAAAGAGGAAAGGUGGAUAGAAAUGAAAUGCUGUUCUGUUGAAGGAAAGUCAAGCUGUAAGAAAAUGUGUGGAAACCACAGAACUAGUAAAGACCAAGCAACAUUCAAUUCCUCCUAAAACCUCAUUUCCUGCUGGUCUGUUCAAGACAACACCAACUAUUACACUACACAGGACAUCAUAGGUACUGGAUCAGAAUUGAAACGUUAAUUACUCAAGGCAACAGAUCCCAACUAUGCACCAACGAGGCGUCUUGGGACUAUCUUCUUAAAAGUGUUCUUUUGUUUUAUCUGUACUUGUUUUAAUCUUGAUAUCUGUAAUUUCUUAGUGAAACUAUAUCUCUUUAUCCCCAAAGAACCUUCAGC